rnacentral:ribozyme from 1 species
AUAGAGAAAGAGAUUAGAAUGGGAGAGAAGGACCCCAGAAGAAAAACAAAAGGUAAAGGAAGGUAAGCUUGCUUCCUUUUUUUUUCCCUAGUUUGAUUUUUCCUUUU